AGUGAACGCUGGCGGUAUGCCUAACACAUGCAAGUCGAACGGCAGCACAGUAAGAGCUUGCUCUUACGGGUGGCGAGUGGCGGACGGGUGAGGCAUACAUCGGAAUCUACUUUUUCGUGGGGGAUUACGUAGGGCAACUUACGCUAAUACCGCAUACGACCUACGGGUGAAAGCAGGAGAUCUUCGGACCUUGCCCGAUUGUAUUAGCCGAUGUCGGAUUAGCUAGUUGGCGAGGUAAAGGCCCACCAAGGCGACGAUCCGUAGCUGGUCUGAGAGGAUGAUCAGCCACACUGGAACUGAGACACGGUCCAGACUCCUACGGGAGGCAGCAGUAGGGAAUAUUGGACAAUGGGCGCAAGCCUGAUGGAGCCAUACCGCGUGGGUGAAGAAGGCCUUCGGGUUGUAAAGCCCUUUUGUUAGGAAAGAAAAGAAGCGGAUGAAUCCCCCGAUGUUCUGACGGUACCCAAAGAGUAAGCACCGGCUAACUUCGUG
rnacentral:rRNA from 1 species